GCCCCCUCCUGCUCGCCGGCCGGCCGCCCACCUACCGAGCCGAGCCACACGCUCCAGUACCUCCCCGCUAUCCGGCCCGGCCCAGCCCGCUCCUCAAACUGCUCUCAACAGCGCCCCGCAGCCGGGCGGAACCGAGCCCAGUCCCACGCGGACCCUCCCUCGAACUCCGGACCUCUCGUUCCCGCCUCCCUCGCCCGGGACGGGCAGGAGGAAGCGGUGGCAGGCAAGGCAACGAUGCUGGUGCAGACCUGGCCAGGGCGCCCAGAGAUGGCUGGCUAGAUAGAUGGGCGCGCGGAGUGCCAAGAAAGCGCCGCCCACUCGCUUCUUUUCUCUUGGCCCGGAGCACGUGGCCACGUGCCGUGCUCAGAUGCACCCCCCGAGCGGGGUGGAUCUCCGCCGCCUGAGCUUACUCGGGCGAAGCUUUCUCCGGACUGGAAGGGACUGCGUGCCUCUCGGACGACAGAGGCGGCAGGAAGUCCUCUCCCACUCCUAGAUCUGCUACGCUCCCGGAUGAGCCUUCCCUGUAGCUGCUGGCUGGAGCGCCGGAGCUCCCGGUGGGUGGCGUGAAAGAAGCGAUGUUUUACGCAUCCGUCGUGAGCAGAAGCACAGAUCACCGGCAACUUUUUUAGCGUGCGGUGGGAUCCCCGAGAGCAGCACGGCUUUUGUUUAAUGCUUAAAACUUGUUUAAUGCUUAAAACAUUCUCAGGGCAAGCGAGUCCUGUGUGUGCUUGUAGGAGGGCAACCAAAGUUUCUGCGUACUUUCUCCGCUGUGACGGGGUUUCCGCUUCUGAAACCGACGUAACUUUUCGAACAGCCUACGUUUCUCCGCUGGAUUUGUUUGAAUUAGAUUUUUUUUAUUUCUCUCUGGCAGCGAUUACAGCCUAUCAGAAAAGGUGAAGGACGGCUCUCCCGCUUGCGAGGCUCGCUAACCUACUGCCCACCCACUCCUGAUUCCUUUGGGCCAGUCGAGGCUCUGAGAAUUCCCAGCUUGGUGUUCGGUGUCAAAACAGCACAAUCGUUUGGAAGUAAACUCGGCUGAAAUCUGUGGGCCAACCUUCCUCCUGGAUAAGUUAUCGGUGAGACCGAAGUGCGUCUUCUUCGACCCACUGGAUUAAAAAACUAGUCUCUCGCUACGAGUAGCUCGGUCUGUCCCAUGCACAGCGUUUACUCGGAAGUAAUUUCGAUUGACUGCAGUGGGACCCGUCCCAAUUACCCAUAGCUGGGAGACCUACUUUGAAGUCUACCGAAGUUGCUUGGCUCGGUGACAGGAUAUGUUUUUAAAAAACGAGGCGGUGCGUUUCUGCCCAACGUUAAGGAAUGUUCGCGUCGACGUCUCUGUCGGAUCCGCUCAACUCGCUGAGAUAAUUCUUAGGGGGUGGGCAGGCCUUUUCUGAAAUUGCUCUGAAAUGUCAGAAAAGCCCCAGGCCCAUUUCACACAACACCCCUCUGAUAAGAACCCCACAGCACAAAGAUCCUUGAGAACUGCGAUAUGUCAGGACCACUGGAUCCCUUACCAAGAGCCCAGAAGCCCUGGCAACAGACAAUUCCCAGGGAACCUGCACAGUGAAGCGCCCACUGGCAAGGUCCAUAGCCCCAGCAACCAUCAUUGCAACUACAAUACUGUCCGGGGCUGUAUGUGUUCAUUUAACAUCCACGUCUUCUUUGGUGCUUAUUUUAUAAACUUGAUUAUGUACUUGCUACGAUCACCAUCAACUUCAAGUGGACUGUUGCCUAUGAAAGUUCAUGCAGCCUCUCAGGACACUCUGUAAUAGAUCUUAAAGUGUCAAUCAUGGAACUUCAAAGGGAGACUGCAAACUGAAACUGCUGAAUUAUAGUUCAUCAAGAGGUUCAUUGCUAUCACCUGGGGCUUGAAUCAGACAAAGUUUUUUUAAAUAGCCUGUUUUAGCUUAUCCAUGUCAAGAUAUCAAUAUUAUCGCCAACUGUUAACUGUGAUAACCACUGUUAAUUACAUAACUACCACUGCCUGUACCUUCUGGAUUAAAUUUCCCUCUGACUUAUCCCUGCCAUGUUUAUAUGUGAUGGCAGCUAAGGAUAACAAUUGCAUGUAUCUGAGGAAGUGAACUGUAAUUCAUAAGCUUUUAUCAUAAUGCAUUUGUUAGCCUUUAAGGUGCUAAAAGAUUCCGAUGCCGUAAUUAUAUGGUGGCAACAUGGGAUGAGCCUUUUCUAUAGUGGCAUCUUGUAUGGGAAAUUCCCUCCCUUCUAUCAGGCUCCUUCACUAUUAGGCUUUCCGUUUUGUAAUGCUUUAAAAAGCCACCCCUUCACCCAGUCUUCAGGGCGGACGGGACUAGAGUAGGGCCAGGUAUAACUGAUGUAAUCUAUUUGCUGUAUUUAUUGUUUGGUAUUUUAUUUUGUUUUAAUAUGGGAUGUUGUAUUCUGUUAUUUUAAUGUAAUUGUUGUAAAUCACCCUGUGACCUUAAUUUAUUGAUGAAGGGCAGUUUGGAAACUGAUUAAAUAAAUAACUACAUUUUGCUGUUGUCUUU